GAUGAACGCUAGCGGCAGGCCUAAUACAUGCAAGUCGAACGGUGUCUUCGGACAUAGUGGCGCACGGGUGCGUAACACGUAUGCAACCUACCUUACAUUGGGGGAUAGCCUUUCGAAAGGGAGAUUAAUACCGCAUAAGACAGUAACUAGGCAUCUAGUAGCUGUUAAAGAUUUAUCGAUGUAAGCUGGGCAUGCGUCCAAUUAGCUAGUUGGUGAGGUAACGGCUCACCAAGGCAAUGAUUGGUAGGGGAACUGAGAGGUCAAUCCCCCACACUGGCACUGAGAUACGGGCCAGACUCCUACGGGAGGCAGCAGUAGGGAAUAUUGGGCAAUGGACGCAAGUCUGACCCAGCCAUGCCGCGUGCAGGAUGAAGGCGUUAUGCGUUGUAAACUGCUUUUAUACAGGAAGAAACGACUCUUGCGAGAGGCAUUGACGGUACUGUGUGAAUAAGCACCGGCUAACUUCGUGCCAGCCGCCGCCGUAAUAC
rnacentral:rRNA from 1 species